UUUCCGUAGGUGAACCCGCGGAAGGAUCAUUACAGAGUUCAUGCCCUCACGGGUAGAUCUCCCACCCUUGAAUAUUUAUACCUUAGUUGCUUUGGCAGGCCGUGGAAACACCAUGGGCUCCGGCUUAUGCGUGCCUGCCAGAGGAAACAAACUCUGUUUUUAGUGAUGUCUGAGUACUAUAUAAUAGUUAAAACUUUCAACAACGGAUCUCUUGGUUCUG
rnacentral:misc_RNA from 1 species